CUGCCCACCUGUGACAACCGAAAAUUCCCACCCGACAGUCUCAAGGAGCCCCAGCGACAGCCGCUGAGCCGGAGGCGUCUGCUCACCUGUUGCCACGUUAGAUGGCUGGCACUGCUUCCUUCCAUCUAUUGCGGCCAGCCCAUCCCGGGCCCGCCCGGAGCCCAGCGUUGGCUCGCAUCAUGUGGCCCGUCACGUUGGUUCGCUCUUCGGUCUUUAGCGUGUGCGGUUCCCGAGUAUGAGCCUCCGGCUGGGAGGUUCCCUUGGGCCCUGUUCCCUCCCAGCCCCAUUCCCUCCACAGCACCUGGCACAUGCCAGAGGGGAGAGUGCCCUUAUGAGAUGGGACCCCAGACGCAAGGAUGCCUCCUCUGCCCUAAGUCCAGAAGAAAGAGCCACUACCUGAGGCUGGCUCGCCGGCAGGUCGUCUGGCCUCCCAGCUGACCUGCCAGCUGAAGGAAGUCACACAAGUAACUACCAGCAAGGCCAACAGAAAAACUGCCCAGCUGAGCCUCAACCCAGAUUGCAGAAUUGGGAACAAAUCAAAUCGUUGUUAUUUAAACCACUACAUUUUGGGGAGGUUUGUUGGGCAGUUUCAGAUAAUGAACACGCACCUGCCCUCCCCCAUGGCCACAGUCUGCCAACACCAGGUGGCAGCCACUAUCUUCCCGUGGAACACACUAACCUAAAUCUUCCCUGCUCUCUGUUGUCUUAUUUUCCUUAUAGUAGAGAAAAUAUUCUAUAUCUGCACUGUAAAAUUGGUUCAAAUUUAAUAACAUAAAACAUCCUGGUUCCUCAGGCACAGCAGCCAUAUUUCAAGUGCUCAGUAGCCACAUGUGACCAAUAGCUACCUAUCAGACAGCACAGUGCAGAUCACCACACACAGUUGUACAAAGCCCUGGGGACUACAUUGCUCUAAGAUGUAGUGGGUGUGAUGGUUACUAACCCAGCGUCCAUACCCUCCCUGUCCUUCCAGACAGAAAAUCCUGAUUCCUUCCAGGUGUUUAUGCUCUGCUCAUCCUCAGCCCUCCCAGUCCUCUACCUGCUACCCUAUACAGCUCAGGAGAAACUGACUUCAUCUUCGUUUCUGGAUCUGACCAGUCAAAACUAAUGUUAGCUUCUGUGCUUCUUCACAGUGACUAGGUCAGAAACCCAGACUCAUUAUUCAGGGCAUAAAAAUACCCUGGGGCGCAAGAGAGGGUGAAUGAUUUAAAUUGGCCCUGUCAAGUUGAAGGAAAGGACUUCAUUCUAUGGCUGUAAGAGAGACGCACUCUUCCAGACUGAGUGUGAAUUAGGAAGCCUGUUGCUUUAAUUGCUGCUGGCAGCUGUUUCAGAACUGUUAGAAGAACCAGUUGAGGGUGCAGCCAGCUUUGUCAGGAAGAAAUUAGAUGAUGAAAGUGUUUCCCCUAAGGGAUUGCCGCCAGGCAAAUUCACUCUGGAUUCCCUGAGACUGAAUAGCAACAACCGAAAGUUAGGGGUAAAAGGGUUUAUACCAAGCUUUAGUCUCAUGGUGGCAAGUUGAGUGCUGGAAUCACAUCUGCCUCUGGGGCAGUCUGCAUGCAGCAAGCCAGUCUCUGUCUCUGCCUUCAGGCUGAGCACUUUAUUAUAUUAACACCAAUAAUAAUGGUUCCCAUGGUACUCAUUAGCCUAGCAGUAGGCCAGUUACAUCAUCAACUAGUUUAGGGUCUGGUGAGGAUCCUGGCCAUAGGAACUUUAAUUUUCCCUGCAAAAGAUAACAAAUCUUAUAUUGUUUAGGCCACUGCUGUUGGAUUUUCUGUUACGUGUAACCAAAGCCAACUACCAUGACUAUCAAAAAAAUGGAAGAAUAACAAGGAACAGAGAGGUGAUUAUAAAGCUGACAAAUUGAUGUAAGUUGACUGACCACUUUGUAACACACCCUUUUGCCUGAAAGUAAUUGUGUGAGUCUCUCCUCUACACCUAAAGUAAUCAAAUAAAUAAAUGAUGUAACUCAUA